GGCGGCGUUGCAGAGAGUUUCUGCCGGUAGUCUGCAAAACUACUCGAUUUAGAGGGUGCGACUCCCUCCGUUGCCUC
rnacentral:tRNA from 4 species